rnacentral:lncRNA from 15 species
AUGGCACCAACCACUACCAUUGCUGCAACUACAACACCUGCUCUGACUACAUCCACUGCUGCAACAACAACAGGUGCUCAAUCUACAACCAAUGCUGCAACAACAGCUGAUCCGAUUACAACAAAGGCAGCAACGACAACAGCUGCUCCAACAACAACCACUCUUGGAACGACAACAGCUGCUCCGACUAAAACAACGGCAGCAACGACAACAGGUGCUCCAACAACAACCACUCCUGCAACGACAACAGCUGCUCCGACCACAACAACGGUAGCAACAACAACAGCUGCUCAGACUACAACAAUGGCACCAACCACUACCACUGCUGCAACAACGACAGCUGGUCAAACAGCAACGGUAGCAACAACAACAGCUGCUCCAACCACAACCACUGCUGCAACGACAACACCUCCUCCGACUACAACAAUGUCACCAACCACUACCAUUGCUGCAACUACAACAUCUGCUCUGACCACAUCCACUGCUGCAACAACGACAGCUGCUCCAUCUACAACCACUGCUGCAACAACAGCAGCAACGACGACUGCUGGUCCAACAACAACCACUCCUGCAACGACAACAGCUAAUCAAACCAGAACCACUGCUGCAACGACAAGAGGUGCUCCAACCACAACCACUCCUGCAACGACAACAGCUGCUCAAGCCACAACAACUGCUGCAACGACAACUGCUGUUCCAACAACAACGGUUGCAACGACAACAGGUGCUCCAACCACAACCACUGCUACAACGACAACAGCUGCUCUGACUACAACAACAGCAGCAACGACAACUGCUGGUCCAACAAUAACGGUAGCAACGACAACAGGUUCUCCAACCACAACCACUGCUACAACGACAACGGCUGCUCCGACUACAACAACGGCAGCAACGACAACUGCUGGUCCAACAACAACCACUCCUGCAACGACAACAGCUGCUCCAACCACAACCACUCUUGGAACCACAACAGCUGCUCUGACUAAAACAACGGCAGCAAUGACAACAGGUGCUCCAACCACAACCACUGCUACAACGACAACAGCUGCUCCGACUACAAUAACGGCAGCAACGACAACUGCUGGUCCAACAACAACCACUCCUGCAACGACAACAGCUGCUCCGACCACAACAACGGUAGCAACGACAACAGCUGCUCAGACUACAACAAUGGCACCAACCACUACCACUGCUGCACCAACUACAGCUGCUCCAACCACAACCACUGCUGCAAUGACAACACGUGCUGAGAAUACAACAACGGCAACAACCACUACCACUGCUGCAACAACGACAACUGCUCCAAGCACAACCACUUCUGCAACGAAUGCUGCUGUAACCACAAGUGCUACUGCAACAACGACAGCUGCUCCUACAACAACAACGGCAGCAACAUCAACAGAUGCUCCAACCACAACCACUGCUGCUAAGACAACACCUGCUCCAACUACAACAACGGCAGCAACGACAACUGCUGCUACAACCACAACCACUGCUGCAACAACGACAGCUGCUCCAACGACAACCACUGCUGAAAAGACAACACCUGCUCCGACUACAACAACGGCAGCAACGACAACUGCUGGUCCAAAAACAACCACUCCUGCAACGACAACAGCUGCUCCAACCACAACCACUGCUGCAACGACAACACCUGCUCCGACUACAACAAUGGUACCAACCACUACAACUGCUGCAACUACAACACCUGCUCUGAGGACAUCCACUGCUGCAACAACAGCUGCUCAGAUUACAACAAAGGCAGCAACGACAACAGCUGCUCCAUCUACAACCACUGCUGCAACAACAGCUGCUCAGAUUACAACAACGGCAGCAACGACAACACCUUCUCCGACUACAACAACGGUAGCAACGACAACUGCUGGUCCAACAACAACCACUCCUGCAACGACAACAGCUGCUCCGACCACAACAACGGUAGCAACGACAACAGCUGCUCCAUCUACAACCACUGCUGCAAUAACAGCUGCUCAGAUUACAACAACGGCAGCAACGACAACACCUUCUCCCACUACAACAACGGUAGCAACGACAACUGCUGGUCCAACAACAACCACUGCUGCAACAACAACAGCUGCUCCGACUACAACAACGAUAGCAACGACGACAGCUGCUCAGACUACAACAGUGGCACCAACCACUACCACUGCUGCAACAACGACAGCUGCUCCAACCACAACCACUCCUGCAAUGACAACACGUGCUCCGACUACAACAAUGGCACCAACCACUACCACGGCAGCAACAACAACUGCUCCUCCAAGCACAACCGCUACUGCAACAACGACAGCUGCUCCAACUACAACAACGGCAGAAACGACAACUGCUGCUCCAACCACAACCACUGCUGCAACAUCAACAGCUGGUCCAACAACAACGGUAGCAAUGACAACUGCUGGUCCAACAACAACCACUCCUGCAACGACAACAGCUGCUCCAGCCACAACAACUGCAGCAAUGACAACUGCUGGUCCAACAACAACCACUCCUGCAAUGACGACAGCUGCUCCAACUACAACAACGGCAGUAACGACAACUGCUGCUACAACCACAACCACUGUUACAACAACGACAGCUGCUCCAACCACAACCACUCCUGCAACGACAACAGCUGCUCCAACCACAACCACUCCUGCAACGACAACAGCUGCUCCAACCACAACAACAGUAGCAACGACAACAGCUGCUCAGACUACACCAAUGGCACCAACCACUACCACUGCUGAAACGACAACACCUGCUCCGACUACAACAACGGCAGCAACGACAACUGCUGGUCCAACAACAACCACUCCUGCAAUGACAACAGCUGCUCCAACCACAACCACUGCUGCAACAACAACACCUGCUCCCACUACAACAACGACAGCAACAACAACUGCUGCAACGAAUGCUGCUCUAACCACAACCGCUACUGCAACAACGACAGCUGCUCCAACUACAACAACGGCAGCAACGACAACUGCUGCUCCAACCACAACCACUGCUGCAACAACAACAGCUGGUCCAACAACAACGGUAGCAAUGACAACUGCUGGUCCAACAACAACCACUCCUGCAAUGACAACAGCUGCUCCAACCACAACCACUGCUGCAACAACGACAGCUGCUCCAACUACAACAACAGUAGCAACUACAACACCUGCUCUGACUACAACAACUGCUGCUCCAACUACAACCACUGCUGCAUUAACGACAGCUGCUCCAACUACAACAACAGUAGCAACUACAACACCUGUUCUGACUACAACCACUGCUGCAACAACGACAGCUGCUCCAGCUACAACCACUGCUGCAACAACAACAGCUGCUCCGACUACAACAACGGUAGAAACGACAACAGCUAGUCCAACCACAACCACUGCUGCAACAAUGACAGCUGCUCCAACUACAACCACUGCUGCAACAACAACACCUAGUCCAAGUCCAACAAAGGCAGUAACGACAACAGCUGUUCCAACAACAACCAGUCCUUCAACAACAUCUGCUCUGACUACAACAACAGCAGCAACAACAACAACCACUGUUGCAACAACAACACCUAGUCCAAGUCCAACAAAGGCAGUAACGACAACAGCUGUUCCAACAACAACCAGUCCUUCAACAACAUCUGCUCUGACUACAACAACAGCAGCAACAACAACAACCACUGUUGCAACAACAACACCUGUUCCGACAACAACAACAGUGGCAACAACAACUCCUUCUCCAACUACAACAACAACAGCAACAACAACUCCUUCUCCAACUACAACUACAACUGUUGCUGAACCUAUUUAUACUGUUAGAGCAACCUUGGCAAAAGAAUUUUCAAAUGAACUCACUGACCCUAACAGCAGUCAGUUCAAAGACCUUGAAAAAGAAGUUCUAUCAAUGUGUAAGGACAUAUAUGGAAAAGCAUUUGGUCGUCGUUUUAAGCGCUGCUUUGUGAAACAGUUCAGGGCUGCUCCACCCCCAGCACGAGCAGAAGGAACUGAAGUAGAUAUUGGGAUUGUGUUCAGUGAGACUAUUCCUCCUGCAGAACUCCCAAAGAAUAGUGUCGUUGCUCAAACCUUUGCAAACGCUCUGACUAAUUCCAACAAUACCUUCAACGUGAGCAUAAGUCCCUCCUCUGUUGAAAUAGCUGAUGGGCCAGUUCCAGAUACCACUACACCUGCCAGUGCUACACCUGCUAUACCUGCAACUGCUAAUCCUACAACUACUGGACCAGUAACUGCCGCACCUACAACUGCUGCACCUCAAACUGUAGCAGUCACAAUAAUGAGGGCAUCUUUCAGAUCUCUUCUAAACACAUUUUCAAGUAACUUGCUGAAUCCAUCAUCUGCAGCCUUUAGAAGUCGAGCUGCAAUGAUAAAGACACAGCUUGAACCUAGAUUCCAAAAGAAAUUCUCAUCCUUCAAGUUCUUGAACGUGGUGACAUUCAGAAAAGGAUCAAUCAUCAAUGAAAUGAACCUUGGCUUUGCAAGCACAUUUGUUCCUAAUAACACUCAGAUUGCAAAUGUUUUGAUCGAUGCAUCUCCAAUUGUCACUGGCUUCGACAUUGAAGGCAGCUCCAUCACUGUGAAUGGCAUAGUUUCAAGUGGAGUGAGCCACACGAUCAGUCUCAUCACCGCAUCCUGCCUUGUACUGUUGUCAUGGCUACUGACAAGCCAACAAUAGCAUCAAUGCUGAUUUCCUUUUGAGUUGCCAUCAGAACAUGACUGCCAUCACUGACAUGAAAAGUCAAAUCAAAAUACAAUAUUUGUAAUUGUCUUAGGUGUUUUACGGCUUUGGAAAAAUGUACUACUAAUGAAACUUUGCACUUAACUGAUAUAUUUAUGACUUAUGAUUUAUGAGUGAAUUGGGUAUGCUUGUCGAACUGAAACUGUUUCUGUGUGGGAACAUCCAGGAUCCUGGAACAGACAGAAUGACACAGACAACUUUAUACACACGGUCCACUGUAUCAUCACUAGAAUAAUAAGCCAGACUAUAUAAGAACACUAUCUAUUAAACCAUGGGAAGUCAGAAAAUAAUUACUGCACUAUUGCACUAUUAAUGUAAAAAUUAAUCUUGUUUCACUGAGCACUGUGCUUUAGCUAUAUUUAAUGUUAAGUCAAUUGAUAAUGCUGUGUUGUUCAGUCUUGUUCACCAAACAAGUAAAAUCAGCCACACUGGAAAGUAAAUCCAUGAAAUCUCUCUCACCAUUGUCUGAAUGCAAUUGUUGAUACAUUUUUUUUAAACAUGCAGAUUGAGAAAUGUCAAUGUUAGAUUUCAAACUGUUAAGUAAGUCUACAUUAAAACAUUUUUUGUCAUUUUUACAAGAAAACAAUCAAAAUCCUCCCGUUUUACUUUGAUCUAAAUUUUUCUAUAGUCUCCAAAUGCAAAUAAAAUUAAUUUUCAUUAAAUUCAGACAACAUAACAUAACAUCAUGAUAACAUCUCUGUAGAAAGCAUAUUGUAAAGAGAACAAGAGCUUUAACUUAAAUGAAGGAACAAAUGGAGCUCAUAGUGGGCUCUUAAUGAAUUUUAUCAAGGGUCAUGGUAAACACAUGUCAGAAAAAUGUCAGUUUUCUUAUUUAUACAAUGUGCAUGUAUGUAAUCAUAAUGUAUCUAGCUAUAUUCUCAGAUUUCUUGUAAUUUGUACAAUUUCUGUCAGAAACUUUACAAUGAUCGGAAUACAAAAUCUUUGAAGAAUUGAACCGUCUCUGUUGUCAUGUGUUGC